rnacentral:misc_RNA from 1 species
AAAAUGCGAUAAGUAAUGUGAAUUGCAGAAUUCAGUGAAUCAUCGAAUCUUUGAACGCACAUUGCGCCCGCCAGUAUUCUGGCGGGCAUGCCUGUUCGAGCGUCAUUUCAACCAUCAAGCCCCCGGGCUUGUGUUGGGGACCUGCGGCUGCCGCAGGCCCUGAAAACCAGUGGCGGGCUCGCUAGUCACUCCGAGCGUAGUAGUUACAUCUCGCUCAGGGCGUGCUGCGGGUUCCGGCCGUUAAACAGCCUCUGCGCUACACCCAAGGUUGACCUCGGAUCAGGUAGGAGUUACCCGCCAAACUUAA